GACGAACGCUGGCGGCGUGCUUAACACAUGCAAGUCGAACGGAAAGGCCCUGCUUUUGUGGGGUGCUCGAGUGGCGAACGGGUGAGUAACACGUGAGUAACCUGCCCUUGACUUUGGGAUAACUUCAGGAAACUGGGGCUAAUACCGGAUAGGAGCUCCUGCUGCAUGGUGGGGGUUGGAAAGUUUCGGCGGUUGGGGAUGGACUCGCGGCUUAUCAGCUUGUUGGUGGGGUAGUGGCUUACCAAGGCUUUGACGGGUAGCCGGCCUGAGAGGGUGACCGGCCACAUUGGGACUGCGAUACGGCCCAGAAUCCUACGGGAGGCAGCAGUGGGGAAUAUUGCACAAUGGGCGGAAGCCUGAUGCGGCAACGCCGCGUGCGGGAUGACGGCCUUCGGGUUGUAAACCGCUUUCGCCUGUGACGAAGCGUGAGUGACGGUAAUGGGUAAAGAAGCACCGGCUAACUACGUG
rnacentral:rRNA from 1 species